UACGUAGGGUGCAGGCGUUAAUCGGAAUUACUGGGCGUAAAGCGUGCGCAGGCGGUUUCUUAAGUCAGAUGUGAAAGCCCCGGGCUUAACCUGGGAACUGCGUUUGAAACUGGGAGACUUGAGUGUGGCAGAGGGGGGUGGAAUUCCACGUGUAGCAGUGAAAUGCGUAGAUAUGUGGAGGAACACCGAUGGCGAAGGCAGCCCCCUGGGUUAACACUGACGCUCAUGCACGAAAGCUGGGGGAGCAAACGGG
rnacentral:rRNA from 1 species